CCCGUUAUUUAAUUUAACGGGUCUCUUAUAUACACUGGACCCAAAAAAAUUUGUAGCAGAAAAGCAAGAGACGACCCCUCAUUUCCUUCCAUUUUCCAUCUCUCUUUCUCCACACUUCAAUUGUAGAUCUAGAAACCCGAAUGAGAAAAUAUCCGCGAUGUUGGCGCCUCAUUACUUGAAAGCACUUAGAAGCGAGUACCCAGAAUGCAACGAGCUACAAUCUCGCAGAUCUAAACCAGAAGAACCUAUGACAUCUGCUUUUUUCCAAGUCUAUAAUAUUUUAGCUUCAAUCUUUAAUUUUCUGAUGUUUUUAUUAAUUUCUUUUGAACUUCAUGUUGAUUUUGUUGCAAUUAUGUUUCGUUUUUUUUAAUUAUUUGAUAUUGAUUUCACGGAAUUUAGGGUUUUUUUGACUUGCACGGUUAGUAUUAUGAGAUUAGGGUUUUUAAGGAUUGGUCUUCGGGAGGAUUUGAGGGGACUUAGGAGUUCAGAUUGGUUAAAAGUUUCGGGGGUGUAAAGGUAAUCGAGGUAAUAAUCGGAAUAUGAAGAAUUGCGGUUAGUUUGUGUGUUUAUUUUGCGAAAUUAGUACAGUAUGAAUGCAAGAACUACUGAUGUUAUGUGAUUAGUCAUGUUUUAUUUUAUGAGUUUCUUUGCUUGAUUUGUAGUAUACUAUUUCCAUAUUGUUAUCGGUUCUGCAAAUGUUGGAUUUUGCCGAUCUUGAGUCAAAUGUAAUUUUGAUCUCUAAUGGUCUAAUGAGUCUGAGUGUUACAGUAAUAAAGAAAUUCUUUGUUCUUUGGUAAUGCAUAGGAAAAAUUAUUUGUUUUGUUUGUUAUAUGCUUAUUGUUUAUUGGACUUAUUGAUAAUUUGUAGGAAUACUUAUUUGUUUUGAUUUCCGUAUGCCUAUUGUUUAUUGGAUUUUAUCAUUUCACAUUUUGGUAGCUCUUAAAUUAUGUUAAAGGUGAAUUUCUUCAAGUUGGAGAAGGAAUCUAGUUCUGCAUUGCUGGAACAUAUGGUAAGAACUAGAAUGAAAAAAUAUCGAUUUUGGGUUAGCCAUGGAUGGACCAUCUGAUGACAAAAGCUAUGUUUCUACGAAGGUCAUGGGAACUCAUGGUUAAGCUGCACCAGAAUAUGUCGCAACAGCAUGCGCAAGAUUGAUUCAAAGGGGAAAGUAAGAAAAGUAUUCGACUUCUCAUUUUUGGUUGUGAUCCUUCUGAUGGACUUUGGUGAGGAGUCCGAAAGAGCUCAUUGUGGUUCAGCAGCACAUCAAGUCUCACUAAUAUGCUCACGAGAUUCUUAUCUAACUAACUAAGUUAGGCCACCACAUGUGCUCGUACCUGAAUUUGCCAAUAAGUAUAUCAUCUAAUCUUGUCAGUUGUCAUAGUUAUGUAAACUUUUGAGUUGUUAUUUUUAGUUUUUUGAGAUUAUAGUUGAUGUAAAGUAAGAAAUAUUUUUUUGGUAAUGGUAUGAAUUAUUUUGGAA